CUCGAUAUUCUUUCAAACUCCUAUGCAAAAAGAAUUGGUUUAAAGCUUCAAAUAUGGCUCUAAAAUCACUUCGAGACCUAUCAAAAUAUUCAGACUUCUCAAGUCAAUAUGAGCCCAAGAAUUUGGGGAAAUUUUUCAAUUAAACUGGCUAUUGCUUGGCUAGUUCGAUAUUCCUAGGUGUUUUACUACAUGUAAACUAUUUUUAGAACUCAAAAUCUAGCUUAAAUGGAAUUAAAAAGCUAAAAAAAAUCAUGAAUGAAGUGUCGAGUUCGACCACUUACCAGAAAGGAAAUGGGUUGUCUAAGACCUGGCUUAAUUUCUCAAUAUCCAACAAAUUUUCUGGUUUCUAGGUGGUCAAAAAUUGUUUCCCAUCCACAGUGGUCACUCUCUCACUAUUUUUGUUUCCUCUUUCUCUUGAAUUUUGGCUCACACAGAUGAGCUUAUCUCCUGUUUCGGGUUUUUUCUGCCCAUUGAAGCGAAGAAGAAGAAGAAGGUCAACAUUUUCAAGGGCAAGGGAAACCAUAAAGAUCCGGGCCAUCGAUCUGCAUGCAGUGUUUCUCAGUCGUUUGAUUAGAUUUAUUGUCGAGGGCAUUUUCAUAAAAUUUCUUGCAUUUUAAAUUUCGACUAUUAGAUCAAACCUGUAUGCAAUCUGGGUCGUUGGUUUC
rnacentral:lncRNA from 1 species